AUGCGCCAACAACCGUGCGAAGACCUUUACGUGACGAACUUCCACGACGACCACACCUCCCCCGUCACCGUUGAAUUCGCGCCGCCCUCCAACUCCGGCGAGAUCCUCUGGCGCGUCUUCCGACGCUCACGAUCUCUUUCGUCGUCCAUUCAACAACCACUCAGCCGCAACUUUGGAGCAUUAGACAAGCAUGGAUCAAGCAAGGCAUUACUCAAAAGUCAAUUUUGGAGAUAUUUUGAUUUGGCAUAA